GAGUAACUUUGAGCUCUUCUUUGUGACAGGGCCACAGCCAAGCCCAUCUUGGUGCUGCUGCCCGUGCUGGGGCUGACGUGGGUGUGUGGGGUCCUUGUCCACCUCAGCAUCGUCUGGGCCUAUGUCUUCAUCGUGCUCAACUCCCUCCAGGGCCUGUAUAUAUUCCUGGUCUAUGCAAUCUAUAACAGCGAGGUGAGGAAUGCCAUCCAGAGGAUGAAGGACAAGAAGAAAGCACUCUCAUUCACAAACUGCUCUCAUCCCAUCAACUACUUAUCAAGUCCAAGAAACACAACCUCCUGGGAGACCGGGAAACUGAGUCCUGCAGCUGAGAGUGCCUUGUCGAGCUCCUGUGCAGAAAGAUCCACCAGUGAAGAACAUCACCAACAAAGGCA
rnacentral:lncRNA from 1 species